rnacentral:rRNA from 1 species
AUUGAACGCUGGCGGCAUGCUUUACACAUGCAAGUCGAACGGCAGCACGGGGGCAACCCUGGUGGCGAGUGGCGAACGGGUGAGUAAUGCAUCGGAACGUGCCCUGUCGUGGGGGAUAACACAUCGAAAGAUGUGCUAAUACCGCAUACGACCUGAGGGUGAAAGCGGGGGACCGUAAGGCCUCGCGCUAUUGGAGCGGCCGAUGUCAGAUUAGGUUGUUGGUGGGGUAAAGGCCUACCAAGCCGACGAUCUGUAGGUGGUCUGAGAGGACGACCAGCCACACUGGGACUGAGACACGGCCCAGACUCCUACGGGAGGCAGCAGUGGGGAAUUUUGGACAAUGGGGGCAACCCUGAUCCAGCCAUGCCGCGUGCGGGAAGAAGGCCUUCGGGUUGUAAACCGCUUUUGUCAGGGAAGAAACGCUCUGAGCUAACACCUCGGGGUAAUGACGGUACCUGAAGAAUAAGCACCGGCUAACUACGUGCCAGCCGCCGCCGUAAAAC